GCUACGUUAACAAGACCACUCAGUCACUGGGACCAGUAAUGUUAAGAUCAUCUGCUUUUGUUUGACAUGGGUGAAGAUGGAAGGGAAGAACAGAACGAACCAUGAUGUUCAAUUGCUAUGUCUUGGUCCUCAUAACAAUUGAAUUAAGAACAUCAAGGACACAUGUUGGAUUAAACUAGCAGUUGUGCCAUUUGGUCAAAUAAACGGUCGAAAGUUAGAAAGUUAUG